GACGAACGCUGGCGGCGUGCCUAAUACAUGCAAGUUGAGCGCUGAAGGUUGGUACUUGUACCAACUGGAUGAGCAGCGAACGGGUGAGUAACGCGUGGGGAAUCUGCCUUUGAGCGGGGGACAACAUUUGGAAACGAAUGCUAAUACCGCAUAAAAACUUUAAACACAAGUUUUAAGUUUGAAAGAUGCAAUUGCAUCACUCAAAGAUGAUCCCGCGUUGUAUUAGCUAGUUGGUGAGGUAAAGGCUCACCAAGGCGAUGAUACAUAGCCGACCUGAGAGGGUGAUCGGCCACAUUGGGACUGAGACACGGCCCAAACUGCUACGGGAGGCAGCAGUAGGGAAUCUUCGGCAAUGGACGAAAGUCUGACCGAGCAACGCCGCGUGAGUGAAGAAGGGUGUCGGAUCGUAAAACUCGGUUGGUAGAGAAGAACGUUGGUGAGAGUGGAAAGCUCAUCAAGUGACGGUAACUACACAGAAAGGGACGGCUAACUACGUG
rnacentral:rRNA from 1 species